AUGAGCACGCGUUGCUGUCAAACUAGCAGUCGCUGCUGUUAGUUCAAUAUUGGCAUUACAUUGGAAUGUAAAUCACUUGCUUCUUCAAAUAUCCACAAAACUCACACCUUUGCCAGAAACUCUUGUAGAUGGGAAGCGCCAAAUUUUUUAUCAGGUCAGAAUUUCUCAUUUUACUUGUGUUUAACUGUUAAAAUUAUUUGUGCUUGCAAUUAUCAGAUGGAGAAGAACAGAGGGUUAACUCGUGCUCGGAAGAAGCUAACCAAAAAUCCAAGAAAGAAGCACAAGUUGAAACACCAAAAAGCAGUGGUGCGUCGGAAGGGACAAGUGCGAGAUAUCAGGAAGCCAACUGCUACUUAUGGUGGGUAUUAAUGCA